AGUGAACGCUGGCGGUAGGCCUAACACAUGCAAGUCGAACGGCAGCACAGUAAGAGCUUGCUCUUACGGGUGGCGAGUGGCGGACGGGUGAGGAAUACAUCGGAAUCUACUUUUUCGUGGGGGAUAACGUAGGGAAACUUACGCUAAUACCGCAUACGACCUACGGGUGAAAGCAGUGGAUCUUCGGACCUUUCGCGAUUGAAUGAGCCGAUGUCGGAUUAGCUAGUUGGCGGGGUAAAGGCCCACCAAGGCGACGAUCCGUAGCUGGUCUGAGAGGAUGAUCGGCCACACUGGAACUGAGACACGGUCCAGACUCCUACGGGAGGCAGCAGUGGGGAAUAUUGGACAAUGGGCGCAAGCCUGACCCAGCCAUACCGCGUGGGUGAAGAAGGCCUUCGGGUUGUAAAGCCCUUUUGUUGGGAAAGAAAAGCAGCAGGUUAAUACCUCGCUGUUCUGACGGUACCCAAAGAAUAAGCACCGGCUAACUUCGUG
rnacentral:rRNA from 1 species